rnacentral:lncRNA from 1 species
AAAUGAAGUUAUUUGAAUAAAAGAUUCCUCCUUAAACUAAUUAGAUGAUAGAUAUGAAAAAUGUGAAUGUACACAAAUAUGAGUAAAUAUCAUUUAUUUAUUGAGUCCUAUCAUUUAUAUAUAAAAUUAGAUCCAUUGAAAAAUUAUGAACAUGAAUAUCAAUUAGUCAAAAAAACAAUGGAUAUUCAACUUAAUUGGCCGUGCUUUGGUUUGGAAGCGCUUAGGGUAUAUUUUAGUGUUUAAAUGUGACCCAAUUUAGAGGUUUAGAUCAAUUAUAUGAAUAUUUAAAAAAAAUAUAGAUGUGCAAAUUGUAUGAAUAAUAUAAAAAAUUUAAUGGAUCCAUUUAAAGAACCCAAAUAAAUUCAUGGAGAUGCUCUAAUAACUAAUGCUGACGAGACCCGUUAAUCCUUCAUACCAUUGGCUCUCCGAACAAUAGAAAACGAUUCUGAAAGAUACUUAAAGAGAGAUACAAGUGUUUGAAACCCAUUUCAUUGCUGCUGCAAAAUACAACAUAUAAAGAAUAGAAGUUUUACAACCAAAUUUGAAAGCAGUUUCGGAAUCAGCACAAAUCAGUUCAUAAUAAUACACUCUAAGUAAAAUGCUACUGUGAUGAAUAUCAAAUCGAUCUCCCAGCUUAGUUAUCAAUUAACUCAAACCUAUCAGGACAAAAUAAAACCCAUAAGCAAAUAAAAUUAAACAUCUUUUAAAAACUAAAUAAAAUAUAGGGCAGUUUAUAAAUGACCUAAAUUUAAGAAAGAAGAGAAAAACAAGCAAAAUAAUGAAACUGCCCCAAAAAAAGAAUAGCUAUUGGCCGGGUGAAAUAGAGAUCUCAGAACAAAAUUAACUGAAAACUCAUUGGAUCGGUCGAAAAUUAAUUAUCAAAAAACCAAAUGAAUUGAAAAUGUGCAAAUCCUUUCAAAGCUUCUGCAGAGUGAAAUUGUUGCAGAAGAAUAGAGAAAAGGAAUUGAGAUUUGUUAUAUGCCCGCAACGGAACUCAGACGCAAAUAUUUUGCUGCUACGCCUGGUUCUUUCAAGGCACAUAUAACCCUAAUUGAAGACUCCUUUGUUCUUUU